rnacentral:lncRNA from 1 species
UACUUGCUUUUAGAAUUGAUUGUGUGAAACAUCGUGCUACAAUUUGAAUGAUCCCUUGAUGACUGGACUUUCUGGGAUAGAAGUUCCAAUAAAAUCCACGCGUACGGGGAGAGAAAUAUUUUUGACCCUGAUGGCAGAUUUGGCAUAGUUCCCCCUCAGUGACACCCCGUCCAUCAGGAAUGGGAUCAAACCUUUGCCUUACAGACGAACACUUCCAUAAGGGAUGGGAGCUUUCCGGACCAAAGCAGAUAAAUAAAAAUUAAAAACUAUCACUCA